rnacentral:rRNA from 1 species
GAUGAACGCUGGCGGCGUGCCUAAUACAUGCAAGUCGAGCGAAUGGAUUAAGAGCUUGCUCUUAUGAAGUUAGCGGCGGACGGGUGAGUAACACGUUGGGUAACCUGCCCAUAAGACUGGGAUAACUCCGGGAAACCGGGGCUAAUACCGGAUAACAUUUUGAACCGCAUGGUUCGAAAUUGAAAGGCGGCUUCGGCUGUCACUUAUGGAUGGACCCGCGUCGCAUUAGCUAGUUGGUGAGGUAACGGCUCACCAAGGCAACGAUGCGUAGCCGACCUGAGAGGGUGAUCGGCCACACUGGGACUGAGACACGGCCCAGACUCCUACGGGAGGCAGCAGUAGGGAAUCUUCCGCAAUGGACGAAAGUCUGACGGAGCAACGCCGCGUGAGUGAUGAAGGCUUUCGGGUCGUAAAACUCUGUUGUUAGGGAAGAACAAGUGCUAGUUGAAUAAGCUGGCACCUUGACGGUACCUAACCAGA